CGAGGAAACAAGGCGUUCACCAGCCGGAUGAAGUUGGUGACGGAGCACUGGAAGGAGAGCUGCUGGAUGAUGGCGUCGCACAGGAUGAUGGAGGUGUCUGACGGACAGAUGACCAUGUCUCCAGCGAACGGGGAGAUGACAUGCGCGUCAUGGAGAUGUGCAGACGGCCGCUGGCCAGAGUGUGUGCGUUAUCGGGCAGACAGCGCUGCAGCGUGACCUCCAGCCACCGGAAAAUAUCCACCGCGGGACUGAGAAGACCCAAAGGAUGCUGUUUGAUCAAAAACCUCAAGACUGGAUGAAGCCGGGAUCAAAAUUUAGAUUGGUGCCACAGACGACGGCUGCAGCGACGAGGGAACCAGAAGAUGCCCCAUAGACCCUCGGAGCUCCUCGCAGGAUCCAGGCGGCGUUAUCCAGAAGACUCUGCGCCACACCGAGCUGAUCACACACCAGAGCUGGGACAGCGGAGACGGAAGUCCUCUUUGGUCAGAAGACAAAGCGCCUUUCCGUUCAUCUCAAAUUUUUGGUGGUCGGCGCGUCGCAGAGAAUAUUCCCUCUGAGCCCAGCGCAGCCAGA